rnacentral:rRNA from 17 species
AGUACGAGAGGACCGGGAUGGACGUACCUCUGGUGCACCAGUUGUCAUGCCAAUGGCACGGCUGGGCAGCUACGUACGGAACGGAUAAACGCUGAAAGCAUCUAAGCGUGAAGCCGACUCCAAGAUUAGAUAUCCCAUUGCAUAAGCAAGUAAGACCCCUUGAGGACUACGAGGUUGAUAGGCUGCGUGUGUAAGUACGGCGACGUAUUUAGCU